rnacentral:lncRNA from 1 species
CUACUCCCCGACUUUUUAGCUAUGCAUUCAUCUCCUGAAACUGCUUGCUAUUGCCACAAGUAGCUACAAAUUAACCUAAACAUGCCAUGCUGAGCACUAAAACCCACACCCCAUAGUUUAACAAUGUAAAGCCAAUCAAUAGCUUAUUUUAAUGUAAAUUCUUUGUAAAUAACUCAGGAACAGCCUCUUUUUUCCCUUUAAAAAUCAAUUUAUAGGCUGGAAGUGGUGGCUUAUGCCUGUAAUCCCAGUACUUUGGGAGGUUGAGGUGUGAGGAUCACUUGAGGCAGGGAGUUUGAGACCAGCCUAAGCAACACAGCAAGACCCUGUCUCUACAAAAGACUUUCAAAAAAUGAGCUGCGCAUGGUAGUGUAUGUCUGUAGUCCUAGCUACUGAUGGGGCCAAGGUGGGAGGAUUGCUUGAGCCCAGGAAUUCAAGGUUAUACAGAGCUAUGAUUGUACCACUGCACUCCAGCCUGGACAACAGAGCAAGACCCUGUCUCUGUUAAAAAAUGAAAAAAAAAAAAAAAUCUACUAUAACUGCUGCUAACAGGAGUGUAUUUUCAGGACAAAUUAAGUCUUUGAUCCUGGGUUACAAUCCUCAAGUUUGGCCUAAAUAAACUGUCUACUUACAUUAAUUUUGCCUCAGCUUCUUCCUUUUAGGUCAUGUGGAAUAAGGACAGUGAGAAAUAGGUCUUGAUAUAUCUCUUUCCUUGAUUGUCUUUCUCUUUCAGCUGAAUGCCAAGGCAGAAAGAAAUGAAGAGUGGGAGCUUUUGAGGGUAAGGCUUUGUUAUUCAAGCCUGGGCUGUCGCAGGUGUAAAUGUCACCUCUCCUGCCCAUAGGCCUUGGGUGCACAACCAUUGAGGUCCUUGGUUCCUAGAGCCAGGUCUUCUCAGAAAUGGGAUUCUGAGAAAGAAUUUGUGCGAGGGAAUGAAAAUGUGGACCCUUCUUCUCACUCUGCUCUGCUCUCCUGGGGAUGACCCAUGGAUGGAGCUGGGUAGGGGUUAUAAGUCAAAAUUAAAAUUCUAAGCCCACCACAAACAAUGAACUCCUCCUCUCAGACAAGGUCAUUCCAAAGUUAACCUGAAAAACUAGUUCAGUCCAUAACAGGAAGAGGGGGCCAGGCAUGCUUCAUUAUACUCUCCUCCCUUUGGGGCUCAGGUACAACUGACCAGCAUUAACAUUAAAACAGAGAUCUUAAGAUUUUUUAUAACAAUAAUACACCAAAUUCCAGCCUGGCUCAAAUAUAGCAUCAUAUGUCAGAGUGCAGGCCUUGAAUGGAAUGAAAGCAUUUUACCCUAAAAUGUAUUUCUUUGAUAUAUUUUGAAAUGCCCUGCAAAGCUGUUGUGGAGAAAAUCUUCAUUCUGUAGAGAAUCCCUUUUCCUUUUCAGGUCUUUUCCUCGAUCCAGGAGAGAAUUAACCAAGAGUCUGGCACCUUUUAAAGUCAGAUAAGAAACAUUUAAAAUCUGUUUUCUCUGAAGCCUGCUACCUGGAGGCUUCAUCUACAUAAUAAGAACCUUUGUCUCAACAACCCUUUAUUUUAACCCAUACACUCCCUUCUACAGAUUCUAGGUCUUUAGAUAAACUCUGCACCAAAUGCCCAUCAGAAAAUCUUUGAAUCUGCCUAUAAAUUGGAAGCCCCUGCUUCCAGUUGUCCCGCCCUUCUGGAUCAAACCAAUGUACAUCUUAUAUGUAUUGAUUGAUGUCUUAUGUCUCCCUAAAAUGUAUAAAACCAAGCU